CAGUCGCCGCGGGAACACGGAGGGAGCUAGCGUUAUUCGGAAUUACUGGGCGUAAAGCGCACGUAGGCGGCUUUGUAAGUAAGAGGUGAAAGCCCAGAGCUCAACUCUGGAAUUGCCUUUUAGACUGCAUCGCUUGAAUCAUGGAGAGGUCAGUGGAAUUCCGAGUGUAGAGGUGAAAUUCGUAGAUAUUCGGAAGAACACCAGUGGCGAAGGCGGCUGACUGGACAUGUAUUGACGCUGAGGUGCGAAAGCGUGGGGAGCAAACAGGAUUAGAUACCCCUGUAGUCCCUGUCUCUUAUAC
rnacentral:rRNA from 1 species